AGUUUAACAGAAAACCUGUCCAGGGCCACUCUGUGAUCCCAGUCCCGGGCCGCUUAGCCAUCCCAAUCCGCCCCUGAGGAUACUUAACGAAUUAUUU